rnacentral:rRNA from 1 species
GUCGACGGUGAACUUGGGAGCUUGCUCUCGGGGGAUCAGUGGCGAACGGGUGAGUAACACGUGAGUAACCUGCCCUUGACUCUGGGAUAAGCACUGGAAACGGUGUCUAAUACCGGAUACGAGCUUCAGCCGCAUGGCUAGGAGCUGGAAAGAACUUUGGUCAAGGAUGGACUCGCGGCCUAUCAGCUAGUUGGUGAGGUAAUGGCUCACCAAGGCGACGACGGGUAGCCGGCCUGAGAGGGUGACCGGCCACACUGGGACUGAGACACGGCCCAGACUCCUACGGGAGGCAGCAGUGGGGAAUAUUGCACAAUGGGCGCAAGCCUGAUGCAGCAACGCCGCGUGAGGGACGAAGGCCUUCGGGUUGUAAACCUCUUUUAGUAGGGAAGAAGGGAGCUUGCUCUUGACGGUACCUGCAGAAAAAGCACCGGCUAAUUACGUGCCAGCAGCCGCGGUAAUACGUAGGGUGCAAGCGUUAUCCGGAAUUAUUGGGCGUAAAGAGCUCGUAGGCGGUUUGUCGCGUCUGCUGUGAAAACUGGAGGCUCAACCUCCAGCCUGCAGUGGGUACGGGCAGACUAGAGUGCGGUAGGGGAGAUUGGAAUUCCUGGUGUAGCGGUGGAAUGCGCAGAUAUCAGGAGGAACACCAAUGGCGAAGGCAGAUCUCUGGGCCGUAACUGACGCUGAGGAGCGAAAGCAUGGGGAGC